UUCCUUUUUUGACGCAAUGUAAACUCGUGAAAUUUUGGGAGUCUUAAGUCAGGUCUUAGUAUUUGUUUGUUUGCCGAACUAGUCAGGUCUUAAUCACCCUUUUGAUCUUUCACGGUUUAGUCAGCCAAAUGUCUCCUUUCUUGACUGGAGGAACUAAGCCUCUUACUUAAUUGGCACUUGUAUUCGUACACUGGUGUGCAAAUUGGUGAGUAUUCACUUUUCAUAAAAAGCGCAUAAAGCCUUAACCACAAUCGAUGGAUUGACUGGAGACUUGGAGUGGUCAAGAAGACCCCAAGCGAAAGAUACGACCUUUAAGGAAAAAACCUGAUUGCUGUUUAUCAUGAUUUUUUACCACAUUUUAUUAGGUGAGAAUAUGAGAUGAUGCUUUAAUCCUAAUUGCUGUUUAUCCCCGAGAGCUUGUAUGCAACUAUGCAUCAGCUUUUCGGCAUAUCCCGGAACCACCGCCGGCAAAACGUAAGGCAGUGGGAGUGGCGAUUCCGAAGCUCCACGUAUAUUCCAGGAAUUGCGAUUCUUCGUGGAAGGAAAUUGUGAGCUCAAGCAAGUUCUCCCUUGUCAGUGGGUGCCGCUGGAAGGAACAGAGAAGAUGGAUGCAAUCGACAGGGAAUUGCUCACGUUGGCCACUUUUGGAUGCAAUCCUGGAAGCAUUUUGUGUUGAAAAUGUAUGAAAUGUAUGCACUGUUGUACAUGGGCUGAUAUGUUGUACCAAAUUUUGCCUCAAAUGCAAUGAAAAUAUAUGGGCUGAUAUAUAUGGUGAAGUGAAUUUUGUAUGGUUGCCAGAAAUAUAUGCACCGUGUAUAUCAUGGUACAGAAUUUUGAGCA